CAUGGGGCCUGUGCUGUCUCAACUGAGAGGUCCUCAUCUGCUGAUUCACUUGCACCUGGGGCUUCUUGGCUGGUCAUCUGGAAAGGUACAAGCUGAAGCUUUAUUUAUCCAAGGCAAUCUUUUAGAAGUCACCCUACGUUUCUCCAAAGUGUCUGGACGCAGUGUGGAGCGUGGUUUAUUUCGUCCAUGUUGCGUGCGGAAGCCUGUGCUGGAGCUCACUGAGGUUUGAAGCCUGUCAUCAACAUACAGACUGACAUGAACUUUCACUGGGGAGCCACAGAGGGCUGUACGGGCAAACAGGAGAAAUGACAGGGUACCAAAGACUGCCCUGUCAGCUGAAGGGCACCCUGGAUGCGUGUCUCUGAGCCCUCACACUCCUGUAACCUGUGAACGGUGGGCAAGCAGAAAAGGUGAUGGGUCAUGCAUCUUCCUGACGCACCGUGAAGCAGGAAGAAAUGGAACAGUAGCUCUGUGUUACAUGUGAGGAGCGAGAAGCACCAACAUGGGUCUUCAUUCUGGAUUUCAUCUUCAAUAUUAAUCCACAGGCUU
rnacentral:lncRNA from 1 species